GAUGAACGCUGGCGGCGUGCCUAAUACAUGCAAGUCGAGCGGCAGCACGGUCUUCGGACUGGUGGCGAGCGGCGGACGGCUGAGUAACGCGUAGGAACGUACCCCAAAGUGAGGGAUAACUGCUCGAAAGAGUAGCUAAUACCGCAUGUGAUCUAAGGAUUAAAGCUUCGGCGCUUUGGGAACGGCCUGCGUCCGAUUAGCUAGUUGGUGAGGUAAAAGCUCACCAAGGCGACGAUCGGUAGCUGGUCUGAGAGGAUGAUCAGCCAGACUGGGACUGAGACACGGCCCAGACUCCUACGGGAGGCAGCAGUAGGGAAUUCUCCACAAUGGGCGAAAGCCUGAUGGAGCAACGCCGCGUGCAGGAUGAAUGCCUUCGGGUUGUAAACUGCUUUUAUAUGUGACGAAUAUGACGGUAGCAUAUGAAUAAGGAUCGGCUAACUCCGUGCCAGCAGCCGCGGUAA
rnacentral:rRNA from 1 species